rnacentral:rRNA from 1 species
CAGUCGCCGCGGUAAUACGUAGGUCCCGAGCGUUGUCCGGAUUUAUUGGGCGUAAAGCGAGCGCAGGCGGUUAGAUAAGUCUGAAGUUAAAGGCUGUGGCUUAACCAUAGUACGCUUUGGAAACUGUUUAACUUGAGUGCAAGAGGGGGGAGUGGAAUUCCAUGUGUAGCGGUGAAAUGCGUAGAUAUAUGGAGGAACACCGGUGGCGAAAGCGGCUCUCUGGCUUGUAACUGACGCUGAGGCUCGAAAGCGUGGGGAGCAAACAGGAUUAGAUACCCCCGUAGUCCCUGUCUCUUAUACA